CCUACGGGAGGCAGCAGUGAGGAAUAUUGGUCAAUGGACGAGAGUCUGAACCAGCCAAGUAGCGUGAAGGAUGACUGCCCUAUGGGUUGUAAACUUCUUUUAUAAAGGAAUAAAACGAGGCACGUGUGCCUUUUUGCAUGUACUUUAUGAAUAAGGAUCGGCUAACUCCGUGCCAGCAGCCGCGGUAAUACGGAGGAUCCGAGCGUUAUCCGGAUUUAUUGGGUUUAAAGGGAGCGUAGAUGGGUUGUUAAGUCAGUUGUGAAAGUUUGCGGCUCAACCGUAAAAUUGCAAUUGAUACUGGCAGUCUUGAGUACAGUUGUGGUAGGCGGAAUUCGUGGUGUAGCGGUGAAAUGCUUAGAUAUCACGAAGAACCCCGAUUGCGAAGGCAGCUUACUAAACUGUGACUGACAUUGAUGCUCGAAAGCGUGGGUAUCGAACAGGAUUAGAUACCCUAGUAGUC
rnacentral:rRNA from 1 species